rnacentral:rRNA from 1 species
CGACCUUGUCCUUGGACCGAGAUCCGCACUAGCCCAUCUCCCUGCCGCUCGUCGACGGCGGCGGGGUCCAGAUCCGGUGCUCCUCCCCCUCCCAAUCCAUCUUCCAGGCAGGCUCAGCCUCCAGGCGCCCCUCGACGCCGCACUGCACCUCAUCGACCAGGACCCUGGUCGCCGCCGCCACGGUCUCCUCCUCCCUGGUGGCCGCGGACGCCAACUCGUGCAUCUGCCCAGGAAUCCAUGAGGCACCACCUGGCCGUCUCUGUGGCGGAUUACGACAGAUUUGCGACCAAGCUCAAGACCCCCGGCACAGACUUGUUCGCCAAGACGCAACCCGAUGGCCGCGCGCGCCAAGUGUUCUUCCUCGACCGGGACGGUGUGGAAUUCCCUUCUUGGAUGACUUUUAUUUACUGA